rnacentral:rRNA from 1 species
UGGGGAAUUUUGGACAAUGGGCGCAAGCCUGAUCCAGCCAUGCCGCGUGCGGGAAGAAGGCCUUCGGGUUGUAAACCGCUUUUGUCAGGGAAGAAAUCUUCUGAGUUAAUACCUCGGGAGGAUGACGGUACCUGAAGAAUAAGCACCGGCUAACUACGUGCCAGCAGCCGCGGUAAUACGUAGGGUGCAAGCGUUAAUCGGAAUUACUGGGCGUAAAGCGUGCGCAGGCGGUUUUGUAAGACAGAGGUGAAAUCCCCGGGCUCAACCUGGGAACUGCCUUUGUGACUGCAAGGCUUGAGUGCGGCAGAGGGGGAUGGAAUUCCGCGUGUAGCAGUGAAAUGCGUAGAUAUGCGGAGGAACACCGAUGGCGAAGGCAAAUCCCCCGGGCCUGCACUGACGCUCAUGCACG